rnacentral:rRNA from 1 species
UACGAAGGGGGCUAGCGUUGCUCGGAAUCACUGGGCGUAAAGCGCACGUAGGCGGCUUUUUAAGUCAGGGGUGAAAUCCUGGAGCUCAACUCCAGAACUGCCUUUGAUACUGAGAAGCUUGAGUCCGGGAGAGGUGAGUGGAACUGCGAGUGUAGAGGUGAAAUUCGUAGAUAUUCGCAAGAACACCAGUGGCGAAGGCGGCUCACUGGCCCGGUACUGAC